GCUGGGCAUGGUGGUGCAUGCCUGUAAUCCCAGCACUAGGGAGGCUGAGGCAGGAGGAUCACUGUGAGUUAAAGACCGCCUGGGCUACACAUUGAGUUCUAGGUCAGCCUCAACUACAUAGUGAGACCCUGUCUCAA
rnacentral:SRP_RNA from 1 species